AUUGAACGCUGGCGGCAGGCUUAACACAUGCAAGUCGAGCGGGGAGAUGUAGCUUGCUACAUAUCCUAGCGGCGGACGGGUGAGUAAUGCUUAGGAAUCUGCCUAUUAGUGGGGGACAACAUUCCGAAAGGAAUGCUAAUACCGCAUACGCCCUACGGGGGAAAGCAGGGGAUCUUCGGACCUUGCGCUAAUAGAUGAGCCUAAGUCGGAUUAGCUAGUUGGUGGGGUAAAGGCCUACCAAGGCGACGAUCUGUAGCGGGUCUGAGAGGAUGAUCCGCCACACUGGGACUGGGACACGGCCCAGAACCCCACGGGAGGGAGCAGUGGGGAAUAUUGGACAAUGGGCGCAAGCCUGGUCCAGCCAUGCCGCGGGGAGGAAGAAGGGCUUUUGGUUGUAAAGCACCUUAAGCGAGGAGGAGGCUCCUUUAGUUAAUACCAAAAGAGAGUGGACGUUACUCGCAGAGAAAGCACCGGCUAACUCUGUG
rnacentral:rRNA from 1 species